rnacentral:rRNA from 1 species
AUGUCCACCAUUGACAGAAUUUUCUGUGACACAAAAUUAGAUAGUUUCUUUCCCCUUUCUAGUUGUAGAGCUCUGCUCAGAUAUGGUAGUGACCAUACUCCUUUGCUCUGGGACUCUGGUCUUAACCAAACUCCAAAGAGCAAUAGUUUUAAAUUUGAAAAGUGGUGGUUGCUUAGAGAAGAUUUUACUGAGCUAGUCAGGAAAAUCUGGAAUGAGCCUACUAGGAGCAGCUGCCCCCUAGAAAAUUGGCAGAUCAAAAUCAGGAGAUUUAGAAGAACUACCAAAGGGUGGAACUCCAAUGAGGAAGCUAAUCUUAGAAGAUAGAAAAGGCUUCUCCUCCUUGAGUUUGAUUUUCUAGAUAUUAAGGCAGAAACCACUGACCUCUCUGAGGCUGAGACUAAUAGAUUAAACUAUGUCCAUGGAGAGCUCAAGAAAAUUUGGCUUCAAGAAUAAAUCAAAGCCAAGCAAAGGUCUAGAGAUAGGAACAUUAAGGAGGGUGAUAGAAAUACUGCUUACUUCCAUGCAGUAGCUAACUAGAGGAGGAGGAAAACCCUCAUUCACUCCCUUGAUGGUCCUAAUGGCCCUGUUACUAAGGUAGAUGAGAUGCUAAAAGUGGUUAGUGACUUCUACAAAGACCUGUUUAAGAAAGAAAACCCUUCUGGAUUCUCUCUACAAAACAAUUUUUUCUCUACUUCUAAAAAAGUCUCUCCUGCUGAAAAUGAGCUGCUAGAAGCCCCUUUUUCAGAGACAGAGGUGAAGGAAGCCAUUUUUAGCUCUUAUCCUGAUGGGGCUCCUGGUCCUGAUGGGACUCCCUUCUUGUUUUACCAGCAUUUUUAGGACUUGGUGAAAAAUGAUCUCUUAGAUCUUUUCCAAGCCUUUCAUAGAGGAGAGUUGGAUCCAGCAACUUACUCAUGGGGGGUCUGUUGGGGUCAAGUUAAAUAA